AACGUAAGUUAGUAAGACUCCUGGAAGACCACCAGGUUGAUAGGUGAGGGGUGUAAGCAUGGUAACAUGUUCAGCUGACUCAUACUAAUAAGUCGAGGGCUUGAUCUAA
rnacentral:rRNA from 1 species